CCACUCCAAACCUGCUAUUUAAAAACAAAUAUGGAUAAUAUUUCAAUGCCUAAUAGAAGUAUUUCUGUUUCUUUGGCUGGGGUGCUAACAUCAAGCUCUUUGUGCUUUUAAAAAAUACUUGAAAGUCAGGAAAUUGUAGAGCUGACCGGCUCAUUGAAGGUCACCUAAUAGUUUAACAGCAAUAAGUUCGAAUGGGGCAAGCAUCUCAUCCAGUCAUGUAAAGAUGGCAGACUGGGUGGGUGGUAGGGUUAGACUGCAGAACUGGGCCUCAGAAACAGUCAUAAAUUAGCCCUCUUACUGGAUUAAACAGUUACAAUAGCCUCUCAUGAUAAUUUUUUCAUUCAGUGAAUGUUUAGUGUCUUUCCAUCUCCCUGCUGAGGGUACAAAAUGGUUAAAGGUGUUGUGAAAAGUCCAAAGUGUCUGUCUGGGGGAAAGAGGGAAGCAGGUGAAUUCAGCACAGGUUGGGAGAUACAAGGGAGGAGCCUGGGACUGGAGAGCUGGGGUGCCCGGUGGAAGGUGCUCCCUCCUACCUUGAGGGGAUGGGCCUGGGUUUGCCUCUCCGGCCUCAUCGGCCGCUCUCCCUGUUACUGGCCUUUCAGUCCCCUCUCCAUACCAUGCUUUUCUUCUCUUAGGACUCUCAGACCCUCUUCCCUCUGCCUCCCUUACCUCCAAGCCUCGCUGAUUACCCCCCACUCACGCUGUUAUCCACUCUCCGCUCUCCCCCACCCUGUGCUCUGCUUCUUCACAUCGCUUAGCACAGCUGUUAGUAAUUACUUACUUGCUAUCCCCUAUCUUCGCCCCCAGAAAAUGCUUUCAGCUGUAGUGCGAGUUUAAAGCAAGUGGCUCCAACAGGUGAGGGGGGUUUGUUCUUAGAUAUAAAGGGGCUUGGAGGUCAGUGGAUGUUGCAUUCUGUGUGCUAGUCCUCAGUGUCAGGGCCUGGGUCUGUGGGGUUUUCUUAUCUUUUUCCCUCACGGUUGUAAAAGGACUGCUCCGACUUCCAGCACCGUGGCUGAAGGCUGGAGGGAGGGGAUGGCCCUGGGUCAAUUCCCUUUCAUCUGGGAAGCAAACUUCGCACCUCCCUGCCACCCCUGCCUGCCCCCACCAGCCUGCAGUGCAUUUCCGUGUGUGCAACAUGGGCCAUCUCUAGCUGAAACCAGCUUCCCAGCCAUGGUAACCAAGAUACUUCCAAAGUGCAGUCAGGCUGAGAACCGCUGAUCUUGUUUAAUCCUCAAUGGUGAGAAAAUUCAGAGCUGGAGGGUGAGCUGCUCAAGGUCACACAGCAAGUUCAGAUAAAGCUAACCUAUGUCAUGAAGCAGAGUUCCUCAAGUUGAGGGACGUAUCCUAUCCUCUUGAAGAAUAAAACUGCUGUGGACUUCUUGUAUUGACUGAAACUAUUACAGUAUUACUUAAAUUGCUCAUUUUUCUUGUAUUAUGUUAUUUAGUAUGCACAGAGUAUGUUACUUAGCGUGCACACAUGUAUUUUAUGCUUAUAACUUGUGCUAAAUAAAAUCAAAACAAAUGUAGAAAUUAAAUAUGACAACACCA